GACGAACGCUGGCGGCGUGCUUAACACAUGCAAGUCGAACGCAGUGGCGAACGGGUGAGUAACGGGUACUCAACCUGCCCUUCAGAGGGGGACAACAGUUGGUAACGACUGCUAAUACCACAUCAUGAAGAAGGGGAUUGCGUCUGCUUAGAUAGUUGGUGGGGUAACGGCCCACCAAGGCGAUGAUCAGUAGCCGGGCUGAGAGGAGGAACGGCCACAUUGGGACUGAGACACGGCCCAGACUCCUACGGGAGGCAGCAGUGGGGAAUCUUCCGCAAUGGACGAAAGUCUGACGGAGCAACGCCGCGGGAGUGAUGACGGCCUUCGGGUUGUAAAGCUCUGUUAAUCGGGACGCGGUACCGGAAUAGAAAGCCACGGCUAACUACGUGCCAGCAGCCGCGGUAAUAC
rnacentral:rRNA from 1 species